GCCAAGGAAGGGUUAACCAGCCAAGUUCCAGGCUAACACAGGAGAUUAUAGAAUGUUUAUCUAGUAUUCAGAUUUCCUGUUUAAAUGUUUGGAUUUCCUGAAAUCUAUCAGUCUGAAGGGUGUCCAGUACGUGGCCUUUUCCGCCCCUUCUUUUCAGCUCACAUGGGUGGACUUCCCUUCCCAACUGUAUUUCUGUCUCCUCACCAGCCAAGAUUUUCAUGGAUGAAAAUCAAAACGUUUUAGGCACCCCCAGAAAAUAUUUCUGGAUCCCUGGCCUUUGGGAUGUGCUUUGUUUUAAUCUAGCGAGCAAAUAAUCACAACAAAAAUUCCUGGGAAUUUCCUAUUGGUGCAACGUGCCUUUUUUUUUUCCCCUUUUCUCUCUUUUUUUUCCCAGCUCCGUGUUGGAAAAUAAUUUUAGCCCUUUCAAGACAAUGGAAUGAUGGCCUUCCUUUUGGCAUGCUCUUCUGGAAUGGGACUUCAAACAGGACGAGUCUUGGUAAUUUUCUUCUGUUGAGACAUGAGAUCUUCAGCUUCCAGAUUGUCCAGCUUCUCUUCAAGGGAUUCAUUAUGGAAUCGGAUCAUGCCGGACCAGAUCACUGUGUCGGAGUUUAUUGUUGAGACCACGGAAGAUUACAAUUCCCCAACGACCUCCAGUUUUACCACCCGGCUACAGAACUGCAGGAACACCGUCACGCUGCUAGAAGAGGCUUUAGAUCAGGACAGAACUGCACUACAAAAAGUGAAAAAAUCUGUAAAAGCAAUAUAUAACUCUGGGCAAGAACAUAUCCAAAAUGAAGAAAGCUAUGCACAAGUACUAGAUAAAUUUGGAAGUAAUUUCUUAAGUAGAGAUAAUCCAGACCUGGGAACUGCUUUUGUAAAGUUUUCCACGCUAACUAAGGAAUUGUCAACACUGCUUAAAAAUCUGCUACAAGGGUUGAGCCAUAAUGUUAUCUUCACCUUGGAUUCCCUGUUGAAAGGAGAUCUGAAAGGAAUUAAAGGGGAUCUGAAAAAGCCUUUCGAUAAAGCCUGGAAGGAUUAUGAGACCAAAUUCACGAAGAUUGAAAAGGAAAAAAGGGAACACGCCAAACAACAUGGGAUGAUACGAACAGAGAUCACUGGAGCUGAGAUAGCAGAAGAAAUGGAGAAAGAGAGAAGGUUGUUUCAGCUCCAGAUGUGUGAAUAUCUCAUUAAGGUUAAUGAAAUCAAGACGAAAAAGGGUGUGGACCUUUUACAGAAUCUUAUUAAGUAUUAUCAUGCACAAUGCAAUUUCUUUCAAGAUGGCUUGAAGACAGCUGAUAAACUCAAACAGUACAUUGAAAAGCUAGCUGCUGAUUUAUAUAACAUAAAACAGACACAAGAUGAAGAAAAGAAGCAACUUACUGCAUUGAGGGACUUGAUAAAAUCCUCUUUGCAACUUGACCAAAAAGAGGAUUCACAGAGCCGGCAAGGAGGUUACAGCAUGCAUCAACUUCAGGGAAAUAAAGAGUUUGGCAGUGAGAAGAAAGGAUACCUUUUAAAGAAAAGCGAUGGCAUACGGAAAGUUUGGCAGAGAAGAAAAUGCACAGUUAAAAAUGGCAUCCUGACCAUUUCACAUGCAACUUCAAACAGGCAACCUGCUAAAUUAAAUCUGCUUACAUGCCAAGUGAAACCAAACGCUGAAGACAAGAAAUCAUUUGACCUGAUAUCACAUAACAGAACAUAUCACUUUCAGGCAGAGGAUGAGCAAGAUUAUGUCGCGUGGAUAUCAGUACUGACCAACAGCAAAGAAGAAGCUUUAAAUAUGAGAUUGGCUGGAAAUGAUGUCUGUUGUGACUGCGGAUCACCAGAUCCAACUUGGCUUUCUACUAACCUGGGCAUUUUAACCUGUAUAGAGUGUUCCGGAAUACACAGAGAAAUGGGUGUUCAUAUUUCUCGAAUCCAAUCUCUAGAACUGGACAAGUUAGGAACAUCUGAACUCUUGCUGGCCAAGAAUAUAGGAAAUAAUAGUUUUAAUGACAUUAUGGAGGGAAACUUACCGACUCCGUCUCCAAAACCCACUCCAUCGAGUGAUAUGACUGCCCGCAAAGAAUUUAUUACUGCUAAAUAUGUAGAUCAUAAGUACUCCAGAAAGACCUGUGCAUCAUCAGCGGCUAAACUGAAUGAACUACUAGAGGCUGUUCGAUCCAGGGAUUUACUUGCACUACUUCAAGUCUAUGCAGAAGGAGUUGAACUGAUGGAGCCACUCUUAGAACCUGGACAGGAGCCAGGCGAAACUGCUCUUCAUUUAGCAGUCCGAACUGCUGAUCACACAUCACUCCAUCUGAUCGACUUCCUUGUACAAAACUGUGGAAACCUGGAUAAGCAAACCGUGUUGGGGAAUACAGUUCUACAUUAUUGCAGUAUAUAUAACAAACCAGAGUGUUUGAAGUUGGUUUUGAAGGGGAAGCCAACUUUGCAUAUAGGUGAUACUGGCAGUAUAUAUUCACAGACACACAUACAUACAUAUGCCAAAGUGGGGAAACUAAAUCCACACGUUCACGUCGAAUACGAGUGGAACCUUCGGCAGGAAGAAAUGGAUGAAAGUGACGAUGACUUAGAUGACAAGCCUAGUCCGAUUAAGAAAGAACGUUCCCCAAGACCGCAGAGUUUUUGUCAUUCUUCCAGUAUUUCUCCUCAAGACAAAAUGGCUGUUCCCGGCCUUGGCACUCCACGAGACAAGCAGAGACUCUCCUAUGGCGCCUUCCCACAUCAGAUUUUUGUCUCUGCCAGCAUCGACUCUGCCACUUCACCAACAACUGUAGAUGGGCCCCCACUUCCUCCAAGAAAUGCUGGAAAAGGUAUUUGUUUGGCACUGUUCACCGGGACUGCUAAGACUGCUCUGGGCCCAAGAGUGCUUCCCAAACUACCUCAAAAAGUGGCGUUACGAAAAAUAGAAACAAUUCAUCUUCCUUCGGUAGACAAAUCCAGCCACCACUCUGAGAUCUUUCAAAAGUCGGCUUCUCUUUGUAUCGAUCUGCCCCUGAAGCCCCAGCCUGCAGAUUUAGCCCCCAAACCAGGAGAAUUACCCCCCAAACCCCAACUGGGGGACCUGCCCCCAAAGCCCCAAUUAGCCGACUUGCCUCCAAAACCCCAAAUGAAGGAUCUCCCUCCAAAGCCACAACUGGGAGAAACUUUGAAAUCACCCGGUAUGGAUCUUUCCCCAAAGAUACAAUCGAAAGAGAUUAUCCAGAAACAAGCAUCUGAAGACUCUGGAGAUACGACCCCUGGAUCAGCAGAAACCCCUGUGCCGCUUCCUAGAAAAAUAAACAUGGGGAAGAAUAAAGUCAAGAGGGUGAAGACAAUCUACGAUUGCCAAGCAGAUAACGAUGAUGAGCUUACGUUUGUGGAAGGCGAAAUUAUUAUUGUAACCGGAGAGGAGGAUCAGGAGUGGUGGAUCGGCCACAUUGAAGGAAAGCCGGAACGGAAAGGAGUCUUCCCUGUCUCCUUCGUCCACAUUUUAUCAGACUAACUCCAGCCAGAAACUUGAGUAUUGCACAUUGUUCCUGCAAGUCAGGCUUUAAGCACGAAGCAAGACAGCUGCUGCAUCCCUGUAAUUCUGUGCAUAAUUGUGGAUAUUGAUGUAUAUAUAUAUAACUGCUGUUAACAAGGCGAGAACUCGGUCCUGCCCGUACGAAGGGCUCGUCAUACCUGUAAUUGUAUAUAGAAGGUGUUCCUUUGCCAUUGCCAGUAUUAUGGUCAUUGUCGGAGCUGGCAUGCCUUAUUGGGUUGCUCAAGCCAUUCUUGGCAUCAAGCACUUACAAAAAACUGUCCGUGUGUAUGAACUGCCAGCUUUCUAACUAAACUGUUAGUCCCAUUCACUCCCAUUCAGCUGAACAGAAUUUACCGUCCCUAAUAAUACAUCAGUAUUCUCGGAAGCAGAUAGCUAGCAGCAGUUUCUCUUUCCCCCAAAGGAACGGCUGAUGUCCGUCAAUGGCUACCCAACUUGCACCAUUGACAGCUUGUGAAAUCCUCUUCCUUGGUAUUCAUUUAGAAAAUAUAUAUAUAUAUACAUAUAUCUAUGUGUCCGAUGUAUCCAUCCAACAAACAGAAAUAUGCACUAAUGCUACAGGUAAAAAAAAAAACAGUAGAAUUUUUUUAUGGUGGUAGGCCACAUGUUCAUGUUUGUACUCUGUAACUUUGGUCUUUGACCUCACUGGGCUGCCAUCUCAAUGUCUUCAAUAAAAAUGAAUUCAAUCUCA
ensembl:lncRNA